rnacentral:rRNA from 1 species
AGGGGUGAAAGGCUAAUCAAACUGGGAGAUAGCUCGUACUCCCCGAAAUGUUUUUAGGAACAGCCUCGUACUUAUUGUCAUAGAGGUAGAGCUACCGAUUGGACUAGGGGGCUUCACCGCCUACCAAAUCCUGACGAACUCCGAAUGCUAUGACAUCUAUACGGGAGUGAGGCGUGGGGUGCUAAGGUCACACGCCGAGAGGGAAAUAACCCAGACCAUCAGCUAAGUCCCUAAAAUAUGCUAAGUUGAACAAACGCAGUUUGACCGCUAUAACAGCCAGGAUGUUUGCUUGGAAGCAGCAAUUCAUUUAAAGAGUGCGUAACAGCUCACUGGUCGAGUGGUCGGGCACGGAAAAUAAUCGGGCAUAAAGCAUAUUACCGAAGCUAUGGGUUUGUCGCAAGACAAGCGGUAGGGGAGCAUUGUAGUUGCACCGAAGGUGUGUCGUAAGGCAUGCUGGAGCGGCUACAAAAGCAAAUGUAGGCAUAAGUAACGAUAAAGCAUAUG